rnacentral:lncRNA from 1 species
GUUGAUUUGAUGUUGUUUUAGGUGUUUUGAAGAUUGGUAUAAGUUUGGAUAGUGGAAUGUGACUUGUUUGUGCUUUUGGUUGAGGUCCUGGGGGCCUCGUGAUGAUUUCAGAUGGUUGACGGUAGGUUCAGAGUUGGAAUUUGGUGUUGAAGAGCUGAAACUCCUAUCGUAGCCACACUUGCGGAUUGGGGAUUGAAGGUGCAGGUUUGCAGAAGCACACAGAGGGUCGCAGAUACGGAUAUGGCCAUGGGGAAAUGCAACCGCAGAAGCGGCUGUGCGAGCGCACCUGCGCUAUGCUUCAUUGCAGGUGCGGUCCGAGGCGUCUAAGUGAUUUGCGCAGAAGCGGGUCCGCAAGUGCGACAUUAUGUACCGCAGAAGCGGUUUAGCUGGAG